GCCCGAGUGGUGAAAUUGGUAUACACGACGGAUUCAAAAUCCGUUUCCUUCAGGAGUGUCGGUUCAAGUCCGACCUCGGGCA
rnacentral:tRNA from 1 species